GAUGAACGCUGGCGGCGUGCCUAAUACAUGCAAGUCGAGCGAACGGACGAGAAGCUUGCUUUUCUGAUGUUAGCGGCGGACGGGUGAGUAACACGUGGAUAACUAACCAUAAAGAUGGGGAAAAUUCGGGGAAACGGGAGCAAAAACCGGAAAAAAUUUUGAACCGCAGGGUUAAAAGUUAAAAGACGGCCUUCCGGCACCUAAAAGAGGGAUCGGGGCUGCAUUAGCUAGUGGGUAAGGUAAGGGCUUCCCAAGGAAACGAUGCAAAGCCGACCGAAGAGGGUGAUCGGCCACACUGGAACUGAGACACGGUCCAGACUCCUGCGGUAGGCAGCAGUAGCGAAUCUUCCGCAAUGGGCGAAAGCCUGACGGAGCAACGCCGCGUGAGUGAUAACGGUCUUCCGAUCGUAAAACUCUGUUAUUAGGGAAGAACAUAUGUGUAAGUAACUGUGCACAUCUUGACGGUACCUAAUCAGAAAGCCACGGCUAACUACGUG
rnacentral:rRNA from 1 species